rnacentral:rRNA from 1 species
GCGCGCAAUUACCCAAUCCCGACACGGGGAGGUAGUGACAAUAAAUACUGAUACAGGGCUCUUUUGGGUCUUGUAAUUGGAAUGAGUACAAUUUAAAUCCCUUAACGAGGAACAAUUGGAGGGCAAGUCUGGUGCCAGCAGCCGCGGUAAUUCCAGCUCCAAUAGCGUAUAUUAAAGUUGUUGUGGUUAAAAAGCUCGUAGUUGAACCUUGGGCCUGGCUGGCCGGUCCGCCUCACCGCGUGUACUGAUCCGGCCGGGCCUUUCCCUCUGUGGAACCCCAUGCCCUUCACUGGGUGUGGCGGGGAAACAGGACUUUUACUUUGAAAAAAUUAGAGUGCUCCAGGCAGGCCUAUGCUCGAAUACAUUAGCAUGGAAUAAUAGAAUAGGACGUGUGGUUCUAUUUUGUUGGUUUCUAGGACCGCCGUAAUGAUUAAUAGGGACAGUCGGGGGCAUCAGUAUUCAAUUGUCAGAGGUGAAAUUCUUGGAUUUAUUGAAGACUAACUACUGCGAAAGCAUUUGCCAAGGAUGUUUUCAUUAAUCAGGAACGAAAGUUAGGGGAUCGAAGACGAUCAGAUACCGUCGUAGUCUUAACCAUAAACUAUGCCGACUAGGGAUCGGACGAUGUUAUUUUUUGACUCGUUCGGCACCUUACGAGAAAUCAAAGUGCUUGGGCUCCAGGGGGAGU